rnacentral:rRNA from 1 species
CGAUACGACCGUACCGCAAACCGACACUGGUGCGCGGGAUGAGUAUUCUAAGGCGCUUGAGAGAACUCAGGAGAAGGAACUCGGCAAAUUGACACCGUAACUUCGGAAGAAGGUGUGCCCUAUUAGUGUGAAGUGAACAACGGAGCAUGAAUGGGUUGCAAAAAAUCGGUGGCUGCGACUGUUUAUUAAAAACACAGCACUCUGCAAACACGAAAGUGGACGUAUAGGGUGUGACGCCUGCCCGGUGCUGGAAGAUUAAAUGAUGGGGUGCAAGCUCUUGAUUGAAGUCCCAGUAAACGGCGGCCGUAACUAUAACGGUCCUAAGGUAGCGAAAUUCCUUGUCGGGUAAGUUCCGACCUGCACGAAUGGCGUAACGAUGGCCACACUGUCUCCUCCUGAGACUCAGCGAAGUUGAAAUGUUUGUGAUGAUGCAAUCUCCCCGCGGAAAGACGGAAAGACCCCAUGAACCUUUACUGUAGCUUUGUAUUGGACUUUGAACAGAUCUGUGUAGGAUAGGUGGGAGGCUUUGAAGCAGGGUCGCUAGAUCUUGUGGAGCCAACGUUGAAAUACCACCCCUGUGUGUUUGAGGUUCUAACCUAGGUCCAUUAUCUGGAUCGGGGACAGUGCAUGGUAGGCAGUUUGACUGGGGCGGUCUCCUCCCAAAGCGUAACGGAGGAGUUCGAAGGUACGCUAGUUACGGUCGGACAUCGUGACGAUAGUGCAAUGGCAUAAGCGUGCUUAACUGCGAGACUGACAAGUCGAGCAGAUGCGAAAGCAGGACAUAGUGAUCCGGUGGUUCUGUAUGGAAGGGCCAUCGCUCAACGGAUAAAAGGUACUCUGGGGAUAACAGGCUGAUACCGCCCAAGAGUUCAUAUCGACGGCGGUGUUUGGCACCUCGAUGUCGGCUCAUCUCAUCCUGGGGCUGUAGCCGGUCCCAAGGGUAUGGCUGUUCGCCAUUUAAAGAGGUACGUGAGCUGGGUUUAAAACGUCGUGAGACAGUUUGGUCCCUAUCUUCCGUGGGCGCUGCAGAUUUGAGGAAGCCUGCUCCUAGUACGAGAGGACCGGAGUGGACACACCUCUGGUGUAUCGGUUGUCACGCCAGUGGCAUUGCCGAGUAGCUAAGUGUGGAAGAGAUAACCGCUGAAAGCAUCUAAGCGGGAAACUCGUUUCAAGAUGAGAUCUGCCGGGGCCUUGAGCCCCCUGAAGAGUCGUUCAAGACCAGGACGUUGAUAGGUCAGGUGUGGAAGCGAGAAAAAAA